rnacentral:lncRNA from 1 species
AUGAUGGGAAGAAGGCUGUCCUUUAGUGGGAGAAGCCAUAUUUUUAGGAUUUCAGGGAAAUGGCUGAUCACCCCUGAAGACAAAAACUUCCAAAUGGUUUUGUUCACAGAAGGAAGGGCCAAUUUGAAAAUGAAUGAUUACAUUAGGUUUACCCUCUGCAUUCUUCAACAUGUGCUGAAAAAUCCAGUUAGUUUUCCUUCAAGUCCCAAAGGAGAAAUCAUUCUGUUAACUAUGCAUUACUGUGGCAAAAUAUCUGACAUAAACAACUGA